rnacentral:rRNA from 1 species
GCGCAAGCCUGAUGCAGCCAUGCCGCGUGUAUGAAGAAGGCCUUCGGGUUGUAAAGCACUUUCAGUCGUGAGGAAGGCGGCGUCGUUAAUAGCGGCGUUGUUUGACGUUAGCGACAGAAGAAGCACCGGCUAACUCCGUGCCAGCAGCCGCGGUAAUACGGAGGGUGCGAGCGUUAAUCGGAAUUACUGGGCGUAAAGCGCAUGCAGGUGGUUUGUUAAGUCAGAUGUGAAAGCCCGGGGCUCAACCUCGGAAUAGCAUUUGAAACUGGCAGACUAGAGUACUGUAGAGGGGGGUAGAAUUUCAGGUGUAGCGGUGAAAUGCGUAGAGAUCUGAAGGAAUACCGGUGGCGAAGGCGGCCCCCUGGACAGAUACUGACACUCAGAUGCGAAAGCGUGGGGAGCAAACAGGAUUAGAUACCCUGGUAGUCCACGCCGUAAACGAUGUCUACUUGGAGGUUGUGGCCUUGAGCCGUGGCUUUCGGAGCUAACGCGUUAAGUAGACCGCCUGG